GAAACGAUAUCAGCAUUGGGACUACGUGCAUUAUCGCCUGAGUCGAACGCCUGAGUCGAUCGUAUUCUAAAGUCCACUUUACAUCAACAAUAAAUUGGACAAGAAAUUGACCAAGUUAUUCAAGGCCAAAUUUGACGUGUAAAAGCACACUUUGACAUCUAAGUUUGUUCGUUAUAAACUUCACGUGAAGAAAUUGACGAAAAAGAAAAUUGUUCUAUUUUUUCAUUUAUUUGGCGUGAAUUCAGUGUCACCAACCUGUGUCCAUUUGGCGGGAAGUGGAAGUAGAGCUGUAGAGCUUUUUGUUUAUUAUUAUUUGUUGAGGUUGAGUCUUUCAUGUUCAUGACAACCUAAAAAUUUUGAUUGGAAAAUGCAUAUAAGAUGAGGGGGUGGGAAAAUGGAAAUUAGUGGCUUUUUUGCAGUUCUGUCUGUUAGUUUUGCUCUGGCUGGGUCUCUUUUGUUUAAACAAUUAUAAUCAGCUGAAAGUGGUCUACAAAAAAACCAGGAAGGAAACGUAUUAUAGCCUUGUUGUGGCUAUGAAAGGCAAAAGAAAGAUACCUAUAAAAAGUGUAUUGACUAGUUGGAAGAAACUCCACAUUGUCGAUGCAUAAUAAGAUAUUACUUUAUAAACAAAUAUCAAGACCUAGGAAUGGAACCUGGAUAAUAUAGUCAUCAAGAAGAUAGCAGGAGGUCAUGAGCAACAACAACUUCAUAAGUAUGAGAAUAUUGAGGAAAUCCAGCUCCUCGAUAUCUACUACUGGACAAACUAGAAGAUUGAAGAGGACAAAGCCUUUUGAACUAGUUUGAGUGAUAGGUGAUAGUGAAAAGCAGAGCGUAGUGCUUGUGUGCCUGUGUAUGUUAGAAUAGUGCACGAUCUUGUUAGAUUAGAUAAGAGACGCUAUAGGGUAAGCUCUUCAUUUUAAGGAACAGUAGUAAUUUAGGUUAAAUUAAAAUUGCUCAUUGGUCAGUUAUGACCAGAUUGUAAUUCUCUGAUGUUUGGCAAAAAGGGCUGAAGUCAGAAUUGCACAUCAAUAAUGUUUUGAUGAUUUCUGGACCAUAAAAAAAGUGUUGCAGACUUAAACUGUAUGUACCAAUAAAAAGAGCCGAUUUUUCUGGUCCAGAAAUCAUCAAAACAUUAUCGAUGUGCAAUUCUGACUUAAGCCCUUUUUCCCAAACAUCAGAGAAUUGCAAUGUACAAUUCAAUACAAAUGAAUCAUCAUCGUAGUGAUGAUUAUGGAAAAAAAUAUAUAUAUAUAUAGAAAUAUAUAUAUUUUGUGCAAUAAAAAUGUUUAUAUUUAUCAAGGAUGUAUUAUUUGGUAUGGCCACAUAUACUUCUGGUAUAUCGUCGGUGAUGUGACAAUACCUCCUAUCUGCUUUUUCAUGAAUUUUGUAGGAGACGAAAAACCAUUUUUAGGGUCAUCUGUUUUCACAUGUAAAUUUUGACAUGUUUUGUAGUAAAUAGAUAAUUGAAUUUACUACAAAACAUGUCAAAAAAUAUCAUAUGAAAACAGGAGGUGACUGUAAAAAAAGUUUUUAGUCUCUCUUACAAAAUGGUUAACAGUUAAUAGAGAGACAGAUAAUCGAGGUUCCACUGUAUAGUGAAAUUUGGACACCCGACACCCCAUACAAAUUUUAUGGGGGUUUUGUUCGUUUAAACCCCCCCCCCCCAAACUUUUGUGUAAGUUACAAUUGAAUUAUUAUUGUGGUACUAUUAAACACAAUGUUUUUAAAACUUAUUUGCCUCUUAGUACUUUUUUGAAGUCAGUUUUUAUCGUGAUAUUUUGAAUAUUUGUCAAAUCCACCACAUAUUUGUAUAUGGUUAAGUACGAUUGUAGAGACUAAUAAUAUGAAAAUUUAUUUAUGAUUUACAUUUUUAGGUAUAUUUUGAACCAUUUUAAAAAGAAGCCAUAUCUUGAUAAAAAGAGCUUUAUCGAAAAAAUAGAAAGAGGUAAAAAAGUUUUAAAAACACAGUGUUUAACUAAUGGUACCGCAGAAAUAAUUUAAUUGGAACGUACCCAAAAGUUUGGGGGGGUUAAAGGGAACAAAACCCCCAUAAAAUUUUUAUGGGGUGCACAAAUUUCACUAUAAUUUUUCUUUAAGAUGUUACUGCAAUAAUAUUGCUUCAUGUCCAUUUUCAAUAAAAAAUCUUUAAUAGUUUUCGAUAUAUUCGAAAAAAUCGAAUUUUCAUUUUGUAUCUUCAAAGGGCUGUAACUUUUUUUGUGUGCAUAUUUGUACUAAGGUAAGUUAGGUUCAUUCAAAUUAUUUUUGGUCCCAGAAUAUGUGAUUUAAUUUACGACCAAUCUUUUCGGGACACCCUGUAUAAUAAAUGGGAUUAGCUGGCUUAAAAAUUCAUAAUCUACGUUCUGUAGAAAAUAUACAGUUUUUGGUUUCUUUUUAACUAGAUCUUAAUAUCUAACCAAGCAUUUUAAAACCUUUUUAUUAUUUUUUCGAUGAUAUAUUCAUGUUUUUAGUUUGUUCAAAAUAUUCUAGAUGAUUGUACACUAUAAUAGAUAGCCAACUAAAUAAACACAAAAAUUUUAUUUUUGUUACAGCCUGUAUAUAAGUUUACCUAUAUAUACAGUGCAUUACGCACCACCUUAAAAAUUGGGCAUUUUUGAUGUCUCGAAUUUCCUAAACCUGUUGUCCCAUCUAAGUGAUUUUUUUAUAAUAAUAUAGCCUGAGGCUAUAGGUUACUGCCUUAUGCUUGUCAUGCACGGGGAGCUAUACUGUAAUAUAUAUUAUAUCACGUCGCUCUCUAUAGUAAUGAGUGAGCCUGCACAUACGGAACCAUUAGUUCCCUGUCUGCAGGCUCACUCAUUACUAUAGAGAGCGAUAUGAUAUAAUAUACAUAUAUUACAGUAUAGCUACCAGUGCAUGACAAGCUUAAGGAUGUAACCUAUAGCCUAGGCUAUAUUAUAAAAAAAUCACUCAGAUGAGACAACAGGUUUAGAAAAUUCGAGACAUCAAAAAUGCCCUAUUUUUAAGGUGGUGCGUUAAUUUCUUGGAGAAGUGUAUUGUAAUUUAAUGUAAAUAAUGUAAUAUCCAAUAAUUGUAAUUUAAUAUAAGAUGUAAUAUAAGUUCCUUAAAAAUA
rnacentral:lncRNA from 1 species